UGGGGAAUAUUGGACAAUGGGCGCAAGCCUGAUCCAGCCAUGCCGCGUGAGUGACGAAGGUCUUCGGAUUGUAAAGCUCUUUUGGCGGGGACGAUAAUGACGGUACCCGCAGAAUAAGCCCCGGCUAACUUCGUGCCAGCAGCCGCGGUAAUACGAAGGGGGCUAGCGUUGUUCGGAAUUACUGGGCGUAAAGCGCACGUAGGCGGACUGAUAAGUCAGGGGUGAAAUCCCGGGGCUCAACCUCGGAACUGCCUUUGAUACUGUUAGUCUCGAGUCCGGAAGAGGUGAGUGGAAUUCCUAGUGUAGAGGUGAAAUUCGUAGAUAUUAGGAAGAACACCAGUGGCGAAGGCGGCUCACUGGUCCGGUACUGACGCCGAGGUGCGAAAGCGUGGGGAGCAAACAGGAUUAGAUACCCCCGUAGUCCCUGAGCGGGCUGGCAAGGCGCAU
rnacentral:rRNA from 1 species